CAAGAAAGCACUGAGAGAAGUCAGAAUUACAAUCUUGUAUUGUAGAGGGUAUCUAUUCACUAUGAUGCUCAACAUGCUUUUUUGGGCCUCAUACCUAGCUCUCUAUAUUUUCCCGAAUGUGGGGAAUUAUGUGGCAAUUGUAAUGCUCAUGUGUAGACCAGGGUAUGGUAUGAGAAUUGCCUUAUUGGUCUACUAUGUCUAUCGCAUUAUGACCUCUGAGGCAAUGAACAUGAUUUGGAAUAUGUACUCAAUUCUGUUUGCUUGUCCUAAUCUAGGCUGCUACAUCUGGGGCCUCGGCAACCUCACCCAGCCCCUGGGGGGAGGGGUAAAGAUUGAUUUUUUCCAACCUUUCAGGCUUGACACAGCAGUUUUUGAAAAUGUUAAAUUCCCUCUGGAUGCCAAGGACAGCAUAAUGUUGUUGUUAGUUCUUCUUUGUCUCCUCUGCACAGUCUGCAACAUGCUUAGAAACAAAACACUACAUAGUGUGAUGCAGCAAAACAUACAUAGUGUGGUGCAGCGUCUUCUUGAGGAAGAGGAAACAAGAAGCAAAGCAGCAGUGUCCGUGCCUGUACAGAAUACCACAACAGCAGCCAUGUCAACGCAGACUGCCACAGAGAAAGAAGGAACCAAAAGGAAAACAACAGUGUCCGUGUCUACGCAGACUGUCAUGGAGGAAGAAACAAAAAGCAAAGCAAAGGUGUCUAUGUCUACACAGACCGGCACAGAGGAGGAAGGAAUCGAAAGCGCCAUCAGCAUCUCCACACAAACCAUCACCAAACCAGAGCAGCCUGAACCCAUAGGGGUUGCCCCUGUUCAGAAGAAGAAAUCGAGGAGCAAAUCAGUCCGCAUAGUGACUGACGAGGACACUGCAGGACCCUCGCACCCAGUGGAAGAGACAGAACCAGAGAUCAUCACUCGCUCUCUAUCCCUGGGUGAGCUACGUGACCUGCGGAGAGAAUUCACCCGCCAGACAAAUGAGUCCAUCCUCACCUGGCUUCUCCGCAUCUGGGACGCUGCAGCCAAUGACACCAUUCUGGAUGGAAGUGAGGCCAGGCAACUGGGAUCACUAUCCCGGGAUGUGGUCAUUGACCAGGGGAUUGGGAGAACCCAAGAAACUCUCAGCCUCUGGCGGCGACUGCUUGCAAGUGUGAAGGACAGAUACCUUUGUAAAGAAGACCUCCAGGUACUCCAAGGAAAAUGGAAUACCAUGGAACAAGGUAUCCGAUGCCUAAGGGAAUUGGCUGUGUUGG
ensembl:lncRNA